AGAGCGAACGCUGGCGGCAGGCCUAACACAUGCAAGUCGAACGGAUCCUUCGGGAUUAGUGGCAGACGGGUGAGUAACGCGUGGGAACGUGCCCUUUGGUUCGGAACAACACAGGGAAACUUGUGCUAAUACCGGAUGUGCCCUUCGGGGGAAAGAUUUAUCGCCAUUGGAGCGGCCCGCGUUGGAUUAGGUAGUUGGUGAGGUAAAGGCUCACCAAGCCUACGAUCCAUAGCUGGUCUGAGAGGAUGAUCAGCCACACUGGGACUGAGACACGGCCCAGACUCCUACGGGAGGCAGCAGUGGGGAAUCUUGCGCAAUGGGCGAAAGCCUGACGCAGCCAUGCCGCGUGAAUGAUGAAGGUCUUAGGAUUGUAAAAUUCUUUCAGCAGGGACGAUAAUGACGGUACCUGCAGAAGAAGCCCCGGCUAACUUCGUAGCCAGCAGCCGC
rnacentral:rRNA from 1 species